rnacentral:rRNA from 1 species
GUGUCAGCAGCCGCGGUAAAACGUAGGACGCAAGCGUUAUCCGGAGUUACUGGGCGUAAAGCGCGGGCAGGCGGUUCCUUAAGUCUGAUGUGAAAUCUCCCGGCUCAACCGGGAGCAGCCAUUGGAAACUAGGGAACUGGAGGGCGAGAGAGGUAGGCGGAAUUCCGGGUGGAGUGGUGAAAUGCGUAGAGAUCCGGAGGAACACCAGAGGCGAAGGCGGCCUACUGGCUCGCACCUGACGCUGAGCCGCGAAAGCCAGGGGAGCGAACGGGAUUAGAUACCCGCGUAGUCC